rnacentral:rRNA from 1 species
AACGAACGCUGGCGGCAUGCCUAACACAUGCAAGUCGAACGAGACCUUCGGGUCUAGUGGCGCACGGGUGCGUAACGCGUGGGAACCUGCCCUUAGGUUCGGAAUAACUCCCCGAAAGGGGUGCUAAUACCGGAUAAUGUCUUCGGACCAAAGAUUUAUCGCCUUUGGAUGGGCCCGCGUUGGAUUAGCUAGUUGGUAGGGUAAAAGCCUACCAAGGCGACGAUCCAUAGCUGGUCUGAGAGGAUGAUCAGCCACACUGGGACUGAGACACGGCCCAGACCCCUCCGGGGGGCAGCAGGGGGGAAAUUUGGAAAAUGGGCGAAAGCCUGACCCAGCAAUGCCGGGUGGGUUAUGAAGGCCUUAGGGUUGUAAAGCUCUUUUACCCGGGAUGAUAAGGACAGUACCGGGAGUAUAAGCCCCGGCUAACUCCGU